AUUGAACGCUGGCGGCAGGCUUACCACAUGCAAGUCGAACGGUAACAUAAAGAAGCUUGCUUCUUUGAUGACGAGUGGCGGACGGGUGAGUAAUGCUUGAGAAUCUAGCUUAUGGAGGGGGAUAACUACGGGAAACUGUAGCUAAUACCGCGUAAUAUCGAAAGAUUAAAGUGUGGGACCUUCGGGCCACAUGCCAUAGGAUGAGCCCAAGUGGGAUUAGGUAGUUGGUGAGGUAAAGGCUCACCAAGCCGACGAUCUCUAGCUGGUCUGAGAGGAUGACCAGCCACACUGGGACUGAGACACGGCCCAGACUCCUACGGGAGGCAGCAGUGGGGAAUAUUGCGCAAUGGGGGCAACCCUGACGCAGCCAUGCCGCGUGAAUGAAGAAGGCCUUCGGGUUGUAAAGUUCUUUCGGUAGCGAGGAAGGCAUUUAGUUUAAUAGACUAUGGUGAUUGACGUUAACUACUGAAGAAGCACCGGCUAACUCCGUGCCAGCAGCCGCGGUGAUACGGAUGGUGCGAGCGUUAAUCGGAAUUACUGGGCGUAAAGUGCACGCAGGCGGUGACUUAAGUGAGGUGUGAAGCCCCGGGCUUAACCUGGGGAAGUGCUUUUUGUACUGGGGCGCUAGAGUACUUUGGGGAUGGUGUGGAAUGUCCCCGUGUAGGUGGGGAUUGCGUAUAGUGGUUGUAGAAUUCCUAAUGUGUAAGUGCUCUCUUGUGAUUGUGCUGACGCUCAUGGUGUGAUGCUGUGUGAUGCAUGUAGUAUGAUAUGUUUAUAUGUUCUUGGUGUGUACUCUCCCUUGUGGAUGUUGAGUUGUGUGCGGGCGCGUGUGUUGUGUGGUGUGAAAAAUAGAUAAGUAUGAAUGGUUGCUGUUGAGUGUGUGUUAUGUUAAUUUUGUGCUGCUUAUGUCUCUGUGAUGGUGGGGUGUUGUGUGUGGAUAGUUUGUUGGGUGGGGUUUGGUGUGCUGUUGGAUUUGUGUUUUUGAGGCUCUGUGUUGUGUGCUUCAUUUCUCAACUUGUGAAUUGUGUGCUGCAUGUUCUAUCGUGUCAUAGUUGGCCUGCUAGGUAUGUGAUUUGUCUGCCUGUCUGUAGCAUCGUUAUGUUGUGUGUCUUUGCUGUAUUGUCGUGAAUGUUGC
rnacentral:rRNA from 1 species